GAGUUUGAUCCUGGCUCAGAUUGAACGCUGGCGGCAUGCCUUACACAUGCAAGUCGAACGGCAGCAUGAUCUAGCUUGCUAGAUUGAUGGCGAGUGGCGAACGGGUGAGUAAUACAUCGGAACGUGCCCUGUAGUGGGGGAUAACUAGUCGAAAGAUUAGCUAAUACCGCAUACGACCUGAGGGUGAAAGUGGGGGACCGCAAGGCCUCAUGCUAUAGGAGCGGCCGAUGUCUGAUUAGCUAGUUGGUGGGGUAAAGGCUCACCAAGGCGACGAUCAGUAGCUGGUCUGAGAGGACGAUCAGCCACACUGGGACUGAGACACGGCCCAGACUCCUACGGGAGGCAGCAGUGGGAAUUUUGGACAAUGGGCGAAAGCCUGAUCCAGCAAUGCCGCGUGUGUGAAG
rnacentral:rRNA from 1 species